AGAUGCAAGGUGAAACGGUAAAAUGAUAAUCUGACGGAUCAAAGCAAAGUCUUGCCUUUAUCCACAGAUGUUCUACAACUCGGAUUAUGGUUUUAACAAUCUGCCUUAGCUUCUAGAAUAAGGUACCAGGGGAUGAUUCGCUCAGGACUCCCUGACCAGCAGGGCUGGCCAAGAUCAGCUGACUCUGCUGGACUGAAAAUCGGAGAAACUGUCCUGAUAAUCAGGACAAAAAUCUGCUUUUCCAAAUUAAAUCAAAGCCCUGAGAACAAAUACAAUUCUCCAUCCAUGAGGAAGAAGAACAGACCUUCUACCUUUUUCAACCAACUUUUCUAGUUUUUGCUGCAGGUGAGCUGCACCUGUCGCUCAUUAUUGGUCUGAAUCAAAGGUCUCUCUUCUGACAGCCUUCCACUUGUGUGAUUGGUUCUGUUUAUUCCUUCAUUUGACCUUGAUUUUUGUUUCUAUUUGCUUCCUUCACCAAUAUCUCAAUUUCCUUGAAGUCAAAGACCCAUUCUGAUUAAAAUUAUGAUGUUGGUGUUUUUAAAAUAUUCAUGUGGCAUUUUUCUGAUUAUGGAAGAAGACUUGUAAAAUUAAGCUGAAAAGUCAAUUUCUUAGUAUUUCAUCAUUUUGAAUCAGGAGCAGGUGAAAAAAGGCUGUUUGAAAAAGACCGUAGAUCCAUGCAUGUCUUCAUUUUCCUCGUCUGAGCUGCCAUCUGGCACAAAAUUGUACAGUUGGAAAGCUCCAAUAUUGCUCACCAUUUUUAUUGCACCAGUAAUGUUAGGCUGGGGGCGUGAGGGCCUUUAAGCUGGCAGGAGAGAGUGUAAACAGAGAGCUCUCAGUAACAGGGGGAGGAGGGGGGGAUUCUUUAAGGUCCAACUCUGAUCAUUUCUGAUCUAUUGUAAAAGUGUUCCUAGGUAACACCUAACACCAAGGGAACCUCUGUAAAGUAAGGGUUAAUGGCCGACGAAGUGUGCAUUAUCACUUUUUAACACGCCGUAGUACUGUUGCUUCCGCGAAGGGCGUUAAAAAGUUAUAAUGCAAACUUCGUCGGCCAUCAACCCACUUAUGCCAUGGUCACUUACAAAAUAAAUAAAUAUUAACCAGUUUUUAGGCCUCAAUUCUUGUUUUUUUUUUUCUGAUUUGGGCAGCUUUUUUCACGCAGAGUGAACUAUUUAUUACGUGGUGCGGUCAUGAUUCAGCGAUAUAAACCAAUAUAUAUAUGCUGAUCGUCCCAAUGGGUUGAAUAAAGCAUCAGUUCAGAGAGAAAGUUCACCUCUUACCGCUUGUUUUUGUCCAAAUGAUGAAGCAAAAGGUUGUUUUAAAGAAGUCGGCGCAGUGAUAGAAAACAUUUAAGCUAGGUGACCGGAACUUCUUUUUUCACCGUGAUGUUAUCCUGUGGUAUAUCACUUUUUAACGCACACCCAGCAGCCAAUCAGAAUCGAGUAUUCACCCAGACCAUGGUAUAAUUCCAAAUAAUGCAUUAAAUAAUAAACUUAAUAAUGCAAAUUGAUGAAUAAAAUGUCUGUUAACACACUGUUACUAGUUAAAUAAUGCUUAAAUUUAAUGAAGGAUACCAUAAUAUAAAGUGUUACCAUCUUAUAAUUAUGGUUAUGCUGUUUUGAGCCAAAAUAAAAAAUACUGAGUUGUUUUCUAGAACAUAGUUUCUGCAGUGCGGCAGUAGUUUAUU
ensembl:lncRNA